UACGUAGGGUGCAAGCGUUAUCCGGAAUUAUUGGGCGUAAAGAGCUCGUAGGCGGUUUGUCGCGUCUGCUGUGAAAACUGGAGGCUCAACCUCCAGCCUGCAGUGGGUACGGGCAAACUAGAGUGCGGUAGGGGAGAUUGGAAUUCCUGGUGUAGCGGUGGAAUGCGCAGAUAUCAGGAGGAACACCGAUGGCGAAGGCAGAUCUCUGGGCCGUAACUGACGCUGAGGAGCGAAAGCAUGGGGAGCGAAUGGG
rnacentral:rRNA from 1 species